rnacentral:rRNA from 1 species
GCAAGUCGAGCGCGCCCUUCGGGGUGAGCGGCGGACGGGUUAGUAACGCGUGGGAAUAUACCCUUCUCUACGGAAUAGCCUCGGGAAACUGAGAGUAAUACCGUAUACGCCCUUCGGGGGAAAGAUUUAUCGGUGAAGGAUUAGCCCGCGUUGGAUUAGGUAGUUGGUGAGGUAAUGGCUCACCAAGCCUACGAUCCAUAGCUGGUUUGAGAGGAUGAUC